rnacentral:misc_RNA from 1 species
AGCCAGUAAAUUAUGUAAGGCUUAAAUCUACUUGGUUGUUUGACACUAUCGUAAAUUUUUUUCAGACUAGAGUGUUCCUUCCUUGGUGGCCAGCUUAACAAUACAAAUCCAAAAGAUGAGAAAGUCGACAGAAGAUUCCCAACCCCCCCUCCUUUUCAGUAGAAUGUGCACUAAAAAUCUGAACAGAAUGCAUAGCUCACCCAAUGCAGCCUACAAAAUCGAGUAAAAAAUGUAUUUCACUUGGAAAUUUCCUCGUAGUCCCUAGGUCACUUUUUAAAUAGUAACGCUUAACGCUUUCAUCAUCUUCAAGCAGAUUUCAACUUGGCUGAUGUUGAGGCCAGGCAGGAAAGGGUUCUGUGUCCAACGAACAUCAGGAAAGCUCCCAAGAAACCAAGCGCUUUCAAUGUUGUGAAAAGAUCCAACUU